rnacentral:rRNA from 1 species
GGGAAUCUUGCACAAUGGGGGCAACCCUGAUGCAGCGACGCCGCGUGAGCGAUGAAGCCCUUCGGGGCGUAAAGCUCUUUCGACCGGAACGAUAAUGACGGUACCGGGAGAAGAAGCUGCGGCUAACUACGUGCCAGCAGCCGCGGUAAUACGUAGGCAGCAAGCGUUGUUCGGAGUUACUGGGCGUAAAGAGUGCGUAGGCGGUUUUCUAAGUUCGGUGUGAAAUCUCCCGGCUUAACUGGGAGGGUGCGCCGAAGACUGGGAAGCUGGAGUGUGGGAAAGGCAGGCGGAAUUCCUGGUGUGGCGGUGAAAUGCGUAGAUAUCAGGAGGAACACCGGCGGUGUAGACGGCUUGCUAGACCAUAACUGACGCUGAGGCACGAAAGCGUGGGUAGCAAACA